rnacentral:lncRNA from 1 species
GCCUUUUCUAUGCUUGGUAGCAGUGAUUUACAUGACAGUGGAUGCCAAGCCGAGUGCAUCGAUUAUGAGGAGUCAAUCGAGUGAGACAAGUGACUCCGGUUCGGAUGAAUUCGAACCUGGAUUUGAUUCUGAUGUAGAAGAUGAGAAUGCUGAGCCUGACCAACCAUCACGGCCUGCCAGGGUAACUCAUCCAGAUUGCGCGCAUUGGACCUGGGAGAACCGCACACUACUGUGCUAAGUUUAUUUAUACUUUGUCCAGGAUAUAAUUGAAUAUUGUUGUCAACAAAUAUAAAUAAUUAAAUUGC